ensembl:lncRNA
CACCGUGUGGUAACUCAUAUCACCAAUGACAGCUGGCACUGCUGCACCAGGAGACACAGCGGAGCUGCACAUCCAGUCCAUGCACAGCAGUUGCGGUGGGGUUUCCAGGGGCUGUCCCUGCCCCAAAGCGGUAUGACAUUGCACGGUUGUUCAGCAUCACAAGUCACCCUGAGCUGCUUUGAUUCACAGAACAAAGCGUGCACCACCACCGUGCGGAGUACCACGCCUGUAGUCUUUUCCCCAUACUGAACAUACCUGUGGCUUACGGUCAGAAAAAGCAGCAUCAGAGUAAUGAAUGUUACAAAGGACAGCAGAGCUAUGGAGUGACCAUCGCAUCGGACCAAAGAUAGAAUGCUUCCUCUACCACUGAUGCAGCUGUUCUGGGAGGAGGUUUCACCGGAGACCCCCAAGAAAGCAAGCACCACAUCCAGUGCCAGCAACCAGACAUGGGGCAAGCUUUAAGGUCUUCAGUGAGCCUGUAAAACUUCUUCAAACCUAGUACUGCACACCCAACUAGUCCUGUUAUCCUCUGCAUUUGCUCCACCUCCUGCAACAGUUCCUGCAACAAGCCCUGUGGUUUCUCCAACCCCUGCAACAUGCCU